rnacentral:rRNA from 1 species
AAAUUGAAGAGUUUGAUCAUGGCUCAGAUUGAACGCUGGCGGCAGGCCUAACACAUGCAAGUCGAACGGUAACAGGAAGCAGCUUGCUGCUUUGCUGACGAGUGGCGGACGGGUGAGUAAUGUAUGGGAAACUGCCUGAUGGAGGGGGAUAACUACUGGAAACGGUGGCUAAUACCGCAUAACGUCGCAAGACCAAAGAGGGGGACCUUCGGGCCUCUUGCCAUCAGAUGUGCCCAGAUGGGAUUAGCU